AUUGAACGCUGGCGGCAGGCCUAACACAUGCAAGUCGAACGGUAACAGGAAGAAGCUUGCUUCUUUGCUGACGAGUGGCGGACGGGUGAGUAAUGUCUGGGAAACUGCCUGAUGGAGGGGGAUAACUACUGGAAACGGUAGCUAAUACCGCAUAACGUCGCAAGACCAAAGAGGGGGACCUUCGGGCCUCUUGCCAUCGGAUGUGCCCAGAUGGGAUUAGCCAGUAGGUGGGGUAACGGCUCACCUAGGCGACGAUCCCUAGCUGGUCUGAGAGGAUGACCAGCCACACUGGAACUGAGACACGGUCCAGACUCCUACGGGAGGCAGCAGUGGGGAAUAUUGCACAAUGGGCGCAAGCCUGAUGCAGCCAUGCCGCGUGUAUGAAGAAGGCCUUCGGGUUGUAAAGUACUUUCAGCGGGGAGGAAGGGAGUAAAGUUAAUACCUUUGCUCAUUGACGUUACCCGCAGAAGAAGCACCGGCUAACUCCGUG
rnacentral:rRNA from 1 species